CCAUUAAAGACCCGAAAUGUAACUUUGUCACAGAAAGUUGACAUUUACUGUUUUUGUUUGUCUGCAAACAUUUCUCAGAUGGAAAAGUCUGACAAAGCUGCAGAACAAGCCCCCUCCACUGCCUGCGUUGAUAUGGAAAACAUACUCCGAGGUCUAGACUCCCUGUCCAACUGCAUGGAUCAACUUGCACUGCAAACUCAUCUGAAGCAAUGUGACCUGAUCGUCUGUGUUGGCCAUCCUGAAAAACUGGCAUUCCUCCAGAUCCAAGAUAGCGAGAAGAGAAAGACUAUGUACUGUGAGGCUGGAAGAUGCAACCCAUGAACAUGUUUCGCUGGCAACUUCCUGCUUGAUGGAUGGUCAGCUUUCCCCCAUACCAUCUGGGAUCCAUGCCCUGCAUGCACCAGAACAGAUAAGUCAUGAUGAGGACUAAUAACAAAGCCCAAGCAGCAAUCCUUUUAUUAAAGAAAGAGAGAUACAUAAAUAUUCUGAUUUUCCACAUUAAAAAAAGGUUUCUUUUUACAUUAUUUAUAUUACAUCUCUACCUGCUGUUCUGUUUAGUGUUCCAUAUCUGACUAAAAUAAAUUACCAAAAAGAAGCC
rnacentral:lncRNA from 1 species